rnacentral:rRNA from 1 species
AGUGAACGCUGGCGGUAGGCCUAACACAUGCAAGUCGAACGGCAGCACAGUAAGAGCUUGCUCUUACGGGUGGCGAGUGGCGGACGGGUGAGGAAUACAUCGGAAUCUACUUUUUCGUGGGGGAUAACGUAGGGAAACUUACGCUAAUACCGCAUACGACCUACGGGUGAAAGCAGGGGAUCUUCGGACCUUGCGCGAUUGAAUUAGCCGAUGUCGGAUUAGCUAGUUGGCGGGGUAAAGGCCCACCAAGGCGACGAUCCGUAGCUGGUCUGAGAGGAUGAUCAGCCACCCUGGAACUGAGACACGGUCCAGACUCCUACGGGAGGCAGCAGUGGGGAAUAUUGGACAAUGGGCGCAAGCCUGAUCCAGCCAUACCGCGUGGGUGAAGACGGCCUUCGGGUUGUAAAGCCCUUUUGUUGGGAAAGAAAAGCAGCAGGUUAAUACCCCGCUGUUCUGACGGUACCCAAAGAAUAAGCACCGGCUAACUUCGUG